GGGGUGGAGACAAUAACGAGGACAGAUAAAACAGAUCAGGGUGAGACAGUGUGUGACUGUGUGUGUUAAUGUGUAGUGUGUCUUUAGUGUGUGUGUGCUAAUGUGUACUGUCAUUGGUGUGUGUAUGUGUGCCUGUGUGUGUUAAUGUCUAUUGUGUUAUUAGUGUUUGUGUACCUGUAUGUUAAUGUGUAGUGUGUCAUUAGUGUGUUUACACAUGUGUGUGUUAAUGUGUAGUGUGUCAUUGGUGUGUGUGUAUCAAGGCACAAGGCGAGACCCAGAUGCAGACACAGGAGGCAGAUGGUUGGAGUCGUACAAUGUUUAUUAAUCCAAAGGGGUAGUCAAGAGAAUGGUUGUGGACAGGCAAAAAGGUCAAAACCAGAUCAAAGUCCAGGAGGUACAGAGUGGCAGACAGGCUCAUGGUCAAGGCAAAAUGGUCAGGCAGCUGGGUACAAAGUCCAGAAACAGGCAAGGGUCAAAACCGGGAGGACUAGAAAAAGGAGAAUGCAAAAAUCAGGAAAACGGGAAAAACGCUGGUUGACUUGGAAAAAUACAAGACGAACUGUCACAGAGAGACAGGAAACACAGGGAUAAAUACACUGGAGCAAAAAAGCGACACAUGGAGGGAAUGGAGACAAUAACAAGGACAUUUGAAACAGAUCAGGGACCUGAGCCCUAGGACCAUGCCUCAGGACUACUUGGCCUGAUGACUCCUUGCUGUGCCCAGUCCACCUCGUCGUGUUGCUGCUCCAGUUUCAACUGUUCUGCCUGCGGCUAUGGAACCCUGACCUGUUCACCGGACGUGCUACCUUGUCCCGGACAUGCUGUUUUGGACUCUAUGAAUGUUCAAACAUCUUGGCCAUGUUCUGUUAUAAUCUCCACCCGGCACAGCCAGAAGAGGACUGGCCACCCCUCAGAGAGAGCCUGGUUCCUCUCUAUGUUUAUUCCUAGGUUCCUGCCAUUCUAGGGAGUGUUUCCUAGCCACUGUGCUUCUAAAUCUGCAUUGCUUGCUGUUUGGGGUUUUAGGCUAGGUUUCUGUAUAUAGCGCUUUGUGACAUUGGCUGAUGUAAAAAGGGGUUUAUAAAUACAUUUGAUUGAUUGAAUAUACCUUUACCAACACCUCUUUGUAUUUUGAUACUUUGUGGAUGGGACCUACCCAGUGGCACAGCUGUCUAAGUCACCACAUCACAAUACAAAAAGCGUGACUACAGAUACUUGCGCCGGCCGCCACUGUGAGACCCAUGAGACGGAUUUUGGUUUUAAUUUUAGAAUCCUCCAAUCCUCUAAAUGUAAUUACUGGCGGUAAGUCACAUAAUCUUUUUCGAUAUACAGUGGGCCUACCGUAGGCAACAUGAAUCUCACUAGCAUUGAGUAACGUGCUGUUAAAAGUGGUGUAGGUCCUAUUUAUUUUAAGAGCAUAUUGAAGUUAGAAGCAAUAGGAUUAGCACCAUUUAUCACUGCUCUGAGACAAGCAUGAGGACUGGUCUUGAUAAAUUAAUUCGAUUUUUAUUUUGACUGAAUCUCCGUUUGGGUAUUGGUUAGACUACAAUUAUGGUGUAGAAAUGUUAUACUCUUAAUGUAACCUUUAUUUAACUAGGCAAGUCAAGGACAGCCUACUCUUUAAGCCACGUUGGGGAAAUAAUCCUUGGUCUCCCGCGUGCCUGCACGACACGGGAAUUCUUUAGCUCAAUAGCCCAGUACUGUAACCUACUCCAAACCGUCACAUUGUAGAGCGCCAUAUUUUCCAAUCCACCCUAACGGAAACACAGAGGUUUUUAUUUUUUUCUUGGAAUAGAAACACCAUAAUAUUAAUCAAAUUAAUCCCAAACUCUAAAAGUAAUUGGAAAGGUAGAUACAAAUAUUUUGUGACAUUGUGGUUACAAUAAAGAAUGUUUUCAAACACUUGUUGCCUGAUUAGCAGGACAAUAUACCUUUACCAACACCUCUGUCACGUUCUGACCUUAGUUAUUUUGUUAUGUAUUUGUUUUAGUUUGGUCAGUGCGUGAGUUGGGUGGGUUGUCUAUGUUUGUUUUUCUAUGAUUUGGUAUUUCUGUGUUUGGCCUGGUAUGGUUCUUAAUCAGAGGCAGCUGUCAAUCGUUGUCCCUGAUUGAGAACAAUACUUAGGCAGCCUGUUUUCACCCUUGAGUGGUGGGUGAUUAUAUUUUCUUUUGAGUGUUUGUAUUCUGCACCAGACAGAACUGUUUCGGUUUUGUUCACUUUGUUGUUUUUGUUUAGUGUUCAAUUUUUUUAUAAAAAAUAUGGACACUUAGCAUGCUGCGCAUUGGUCCUCACCUUCUUCCACCAACAACGACCGUUACAGAAUCACCCACCAACCAAGGACCACGCAGCGUGGUAACAGGCAGCGGCAGAAAUCUCAAGACUCCUGGACAUGGGAGGAGAUUUUGGACGGCAAAGGACCCUGGGCACAGGCUGGGCAAAAUCGCCUCCCCAAGGCAGAGCUGGAGGCAGUGAAAGCCAAGAGACGGUGGUAUGAGGAGGCAGCACAAAAGCGCGGCUGGGACAAGAGGCAGACCCAAAAAUGUAUUGGGGGUGGCACACGGGGAGGUAGGAGGAGACCUGAGCCAACUCCCUGUGCUUACCGUGGAGAGAGGUGGACCGUGCAGGCACCGUGUUAUGCCGGUAUGUUACAUCGCAGCGCCUCGUAUCGGCCGGGCUAGAGUGGGCAUCGAGCCAGGUGCCAUGAAGCCGGCUCAGCGCAUCUGGUCUCCAGUGCGUCUCCUCGGGCCGGGGUACAUGGCACCAGUCCUACGCAUGGUGUCCCCGGUUCGCCAGCACAGCCCAGUGCGGUCUAUUCCAUCUCGCCGCACUGGCCUGGCUACAGGGAGUAUCCAGCCAGGUAGGGUUGUGCAGGCUCGGUGUUCGAGACUUCCAGUGUGACUCCACAGUCUGGUCUAUCCGGUGCCACCUCCACGCACCAGGCCUCCGUUGGCAGCCCCCCGCACCAGGCUGUCUCUCCGUCUCCUUCCUGCAGGUGCUCCCGUAUGUACUGAGCUGCCAGAGUCUCCCGUCUGUCUUGAGCUGCCAGAGUCGCAUGUCUGUCCUGAGCUGACAAAGUCUCCCACUGGUCCAGUGCUGCCGGAGUCGCCCGUCACUCCGGUGCUGCCGGAGUCUCCCGCUGGUCCGGUGCUGCCGGAGUCGCCCUUCACUCUGACGCUGCCGGAGUAUCCCGCCUGUCCGGUGCUGCCGGAAUCUCCCGUCCAUUCGGGACCCGUUGCUAGGGUCCCCAGUCCGAGGUCGGCGGCGAGGGUCGCCGCUCUAAAGAGGCCACAGAGGCGGGUAAAGAGGCGGGCAAAGACUAUGGUGGAGUGGUGUCCACGUCCGGCGCCAGAGCCGCCACCGCGGACAGACACCCACUCAGACCCUCCCCUUUAGGUUCAGGUUUUGCGGCCCGAGUCCGCACCUUUGGGGGGGAGUGUACUGUCACGUUCUGACCUUAGUUCUUUUGUUAUGUCUUUGUUUUAGUAUGGUCAGUGCGUGAGUUGGGUGGGUUGUCUGUUUGUUUUUCAAUGAUUUGGUAUUUCUGUGUUUGGACUGGUAUGGUUCUCAAUCAGAGGCAGCUGUGUAUUUUAGACAUUGUGGAUGGGGCUCCGGAGCAGAUGGGGGCUCCCGCAGUGCAAAAUGUGUUGCUAUAGAUGUAGUUUUGAUCGUUGUCGGCCGCCACAGGGAGACCCAUGAGGCAGCUUUUGGUUUAAAUGUAGAAUCCUCCAAUCCCUAUAUGUAAUUAUUGGCGGAGAGUCACAUCAUAUGUUUCGAUAUACUCUAGGCCUACCAUCGGCGACAUGAGUCUCACUAGUGUUGAAUAAUGUGAUGUUAAAAGUGGUGUAGGUCUUAUUCAUUUAAAGAGCAUAUUGAAGUUAGAAGCAAUAGGAUUUGAAGCAAUACCCUGCAACUAUUUUAUAAGCAUUUUGGACUGCUCUGACAAGCAUGGAGCUGGUCUUGAUAAAUCAAUGAGAUUUUAAUUUUCACUGAAUCUCCAUUCGGGUAUUGGUUAGACUACAAUUAGAAAUGUUAUGUUCUUAGUGUAACCUUUAUUUAAGUAGGCAAGUCAGCCAAGAAUACAUUCUUAUUUACAAGGACAGAUUACGCCUUCCUCCCCGACGGGAAAUUGAAACCCGGUCUCCAGCGUGCCCACACAUCGCGGGGAUUAUUUAGCUAAAUAGCCAAGUACUGGAGCCUACUCCCGAUCCUCACAUUGUACUGUGCCAUAUUUUCCGUUCCAUCCUAACGGAAAUCCAGAGGGUUUUUUGUUUUUCUUGGAAUAGAAACACCAUACCAUUAAUCAAAUGAAUUAAUUAAGUUAAAUUUCUUAAAAUCAGUUCCCAUGUUACAAAAAAAGGUUUGAAAUCAUCUAGUACAGCCACUAUUGAAGACUAUCAAAUGCUUCUCAAAGAUGCCCUUUGGUGGUCAAACUAGCACUAACUAGCAUUAAUGGUACCAGUGGUUUGCACUCAAAUAACGUGCCAUAGAAUUCUGCGGCACCACCCAAGCUGUGCUGCAGUAUGCUGAAACCUUUAAAGGACGAACCACAGUACACACACAUGAUAACAUACAUGCUAUACACACACAUGGAUUUUGUGUUGUAGAUAUGUGGUAGUGGAUUAGGGGCCUGAGGGCACACAUUUAGUGUAUUGUGAAAUCUGUUAUGAAACUAUUGUAAGGUCUUUAAAAUAGUAUAACUGCCUUAAUUUUGCCGGACCCCAGGAAGAGCAGCUGCUGCCUUGGCAACAGCUAAUGGGGAUCCAUAAUAAAUACAAAUACAAAAUAGAAAUGCUCAAGAUUGAAUUUAAUCAAUCUUUCAGAAAAAGUUAAAUCCAGUGAUUGACAAAUCUCCAGUUAAUCAAUUAGAUUUCCUGAAACUGACUGACUGAGAAGGAAAUCGACUGACCCCAACCCAGCUCAGCAUGUGGUGCCCUGUAUUGUGUACAGACACAAUACAGACAAACACACAAAUACAUCAGACACACAACCGGCUGUGUGGUGACUGACUCAGUGAGUCUGUUUCAGUUCAGGACUGUCAUGGCUGUCUAAAUAAUCUCUAAUUAAGGUUGAGAGAGAGGGGGAGACAGACAGAGGGGAGAGAGAGUGAGGGUGGAGAAAGAGUGAUAGACAGAGAGUGCUAGCGGAGGAAAGUGUUGCCAUCCCUCCUUCCACACAUCCUUGCCACCUCCUGUGUCUUGUUUCCCCCUGCUGUGUAGACUGAUCGUGCUUUCAGGCCAAUGCUGUGCACUCCGCUGAUCAAAGAUGCAGCAGUGACUGACACACCUCCUGACAAAAACAAACAUCCUGACAGGAACACACCUCCCUCCCUCUCUCUCUCUCUCUCUCUCUCUCACUCUCUCUCUCUCUCUCUCCCUCCCUCCAGUCCAACCUGGGGACUCAAGGCACUCUGAGGUGUUUCAGACAGACUAACAGUGGGGGUCUGCAGCUCAGUAGAUAUCAACCUCUAGCUUGGGUGUUCAAAACACAUUCUCUGAAUACAGGUGUUUUCUUAGGAUGAAAACAGAUUUGAAAGAGAAAGAAUUAAAGUAAAGCUUGAUUUUCCCCAGGCUUUGUAGCUUUAAACUAAGCUUGUGGUCUGAGAUUUCAAGGAUCCGUUAUCAUUACUGAACUGUAAGCAAUGGGAACAAGCUGCUUCAGUUUGAGGUCACAGUAAAUAUAUGACAUAGUGCUCUGAUUACAUAAAAUAACUUGUAAGUAAGCAUUUUGUUUUACGCUGUACCCCAUGUGUAUCCCGUACAUACGACUAAUACAAUUUGAAACUGAAACUUGAAACAUACAGAAACAAGAUAAGAGAACCCGAAUGAGCAAUAGAUCAACUGUUCAGUAGCCUGGUCCCAGAUCUGUUUGCGCUGUCUUGCCAACUACUUGUCACUCAUUACCAAGUCAAACAUGUUUGGCUUAACAAUUCCAUAGUGAACAAGAGAGCAGAAACAUAUUGUCAGGAGCCAACGGCAUUUCCCAGACGCACCUCAUCAGAAAAUCAGUUAUCUUCCUAUCCAAACCUCACCAAAAUGAACUGCUCGUGGCUCAGUCUCAUUUGAAUGAAUUACCAAUCCUGGAGUUCUGUACGUCUCAGCGUGGUCUGACAGAGGGUUGACAAGGGCUCACUACAAGGCCUAAUUUGACAACAAACCCUGGUGAAACAGCAACCUUGGUGAAACAGAAAACUCUGGUGAAACAGCAAGCCCUGGUGAAAUUAUUCAAAUCUAAAAUAUACAAUUCAAUCAGAGUUCCCUUAGAGCAUAGGAAAAGGUUGCACCUGACCGUUUGACUGAAACCACACUAUUGCAAUGAAUUUGAGAUGGUGAAAACUCACAUCAAUACCUUUGUCAGAUAACACUGUUAAACAAAGUUUAUGCUAUGCUUGCAAUCAAGAGGAAAUUGAAUGAAUGACUCAAAAACUCCCCAGCUUAUGCUCUGCAAAUGGACGUUAGCUGUGAGGCCCGAGAUGCUCAUGCAUUGACUUUAGUGUGAGCUACAUGUCGGGGGGUGCUAUUCACGAGGACAUAUUGUUCUGUCUCAUGAUUCCCGAGUAUGAAACGGAACAGGGGAUGUACAGUGUGCUGCGUGACUAGAUUGACAAAAAAAAACAGAUUCCAUGGGAUCGAAUGUUGGGCAUUUGCACAGAUGGGGCUCCAUCUAUAGCAGGACGGUGGGCAGACUCUAGUUAUGAACGUGUCUCCCUCUGACACAUUGUAUGUUACACCAAGAGCAACUGGCAGAAAAAGAGCUGAGCAUAGAACUCGGAGAUACACUGAGUAUACAAACUUUAAGAAUACCUGAUUUCCAUAACAUAGACUGACCAGGUGAAUCGAGGUCAAAGUUGUAAUCCUUUAUUGAUGUCAAUAAAAUACACUUCAAUCAGUGUAGAUGAAGGGUAGGAGACAGGGUGCAUGGGCAAGAUAAAAUAUUUAAGUGCCUUUGAACGGGGUACAGUAGUAGGCACACCGGUUUGUGUCAAGAACAGCAAUGCUGAUGAGUUUUUCACGCUCAACAGUUUCCCGUGUGUAUCAAGAAUGAUCCACCACCCAAAGGACAUCCAGCCAACUUGGCACAACUUUGAGAAGCAUUGGAAUCAACAUGGGCCAGCAUCCCUGUGGAAUGAUUUUUACACCUUGUAGAGUCCAUGCUCAGACAAAUUGAGGCUGUUCUGUUUGGUACACUCAGUGUAUACUGCAGCAGGUAACUUCGAUUGUAAACAACAUUAAACUACAUCCACUGCGCGCACGUGUGUUCGCAAAACUAUGUGGAGAUAUGGGAUAAGAGCAUGACAAUGUUCUAUUUCACAGGCUUGGUGGUUAUCGAGGGGGAGUGUUAGAAAGAUCUUUCGCAUUGAUAGAGGAACUUGUCUUUCACAAUGGAUGUAAAAAAUGAGACUUGGUUGACUCUCUGUGUAAUGAACCUUUGUAACAGACAUAUUUGGUAAACUGAACGAACUGAACACAAGCAUGCAGGGGAAAUACAAAAACAUUCUACAGAUAAGUAGACCUCUGACCAUUAAUGCCAUGUUCAAAACAACUGGGAACUCAGAACUGGGAAGUCGGCAAAUUUCGACUUCAGUGCGUUCAAGACAACGGGGAACUCAUGAAUAAAUUAGUUAAGACUGGGAAAACAUUUUUGAACUGUCAUCCAACUCAGAUUUCCAACUCGGGAACUCAAGUCUCUUUCUAGAGCUCUGACUUUCCGACCUGAAGAUCACUGACCUCAUACUUUGACCUCAUAUUAUUCAGAGUUCCCAGUUGUCUUGAAAGCACCAGAAAACUGAUGGUACCCUUCGCCAGCUCAUAUCUGUGUGAAGAUUCAGUCAGUGCCCUUGUCAGCAUUAAAACCAAAUAUUGAUCCAGGUGCGCGCUGUUGACAACGCCCCUGACUUUGAGAAGCUCUGACACUACAUGCAUUAAGCACACCCAUCUCAUUAGUGGUGGUGAGAUUAGAGACAUUAUGUCAGACUCAUUUGCAAUUGGCAGUCAAAGCCCCACAUUAAAAGUAUGUGAUGGUGAGUUUAGAAGACAAUCAGAAAUACUGUUUUGAUGCUUAUCAAUUGACUGCCACAGCACCAAAUAAAAAAGCUUACAUUUACUGUUAAUUACAUAAUGGCUGGGGUCAUGAAAAUUUCAAGAUGUCAAAAUGGGGAUGUGGGCCAAAAAAGUUUGGUAACCUCUAAUGUAAGAAAUAGGGUGCUAUUUGGGACACAACCAGUCUGUGGCUGGGUAGAGGAGCGGCUUAGUUUGGGUUUAGUUUCCCUCAACAGGAGGUGGGUCUACAUCUACCAACUCUUUGAGUUCCACAGAUCAUCAGCACAUUCUAGGGUGCUUCUCAGUCGUUCAUAUGUUCCGUUCUCAGACUUCACAAUACACUUUCACACAAUAAACACUCACAUGCACCCACACACACUCAGCAGUCCUCUAUACCAGUCUAACAAUUAACACAUCCUAUGGCUAGACAGACAGUGGUAGUUCCCUCCACAGACUCUACAACCCUUCAGGGAAAAGAUCACCUCAAAUUUUUUAACUUUAAAAGCUUCCAUCUGGAUCCACGCACACACGCACGCACGCACACACACACACACACACACACACACACACACACACACACACACACACACACACACACACACACACACACACACACACACACACACACACACACACACACACACACACACACACACACACACACACAGCUAUAAUUCAUUAUCAAAUGAAAGCCCUGGAGAUUCUCUCUUCAACUCUUCCUGAGAAUAAUUCAACAGAGGCUGCCUCCCAAUGGCACCCUAUUGUUUACAUCGUGCAAUACUUUUGACCAGGGCACUAUGUAGGGGAUUGGUCAGGCUGCCAGAGAAACGUUCCAAAGCAGGACUUCAUGGUCGUCCUUAGUUAAAACUUAAAACGCCCAGGUGUGGUCUUCCUAGCCAGCCACGCUAAUUCAAUGCUAUUGUUGAGUUACAGUGGCAAGAAAAAGUAUGUGAACCCUUUGGAAUUACUUGAUUAUAAAUUGAUCAUAAAAUUUGAUCUGAUCUUCAUCAAAGUCACAAUAACAGACAAACACAGUUUUCUUAAACUAAUAGCACACCAAUUAUUGUAUUUUCCUUGUCUAUAUUGAAUACAUAAUUUAAACAUUCACAGUGUAGGUUGGAAAAAGUAUGUGAACCCUUAAGCUAAUGACUUCCCCAAUAGCUAACUGGAGUGAGCUAAUCUGGAGUCCAAUUAAUGAGACGAGAUUGGAGAUUUUGUUUAGAGCUGCCCUGACCUAUAAAAACACUCACAAAAUUUGCAUCUGCUAUUCGCAAGAAGCAUUUCCUUAUGUGAAUCAUGCCUCAAACAAAAGAGAUCUCAGAAGACCUAAAAUUACGAAUUGUUGACUUGCAUAAUGUCACACCCUGACCAUAGUUUGCUUUGUAUGUUUCUAUGUUUUGUUUGGUCAGGGUGUGAUCUGAGUGGGCAUUUUAUGUUGGAUGUCUUGUUUGUCUAUGUCUAUGUCUGGCCUGAUAUGGUUCUCAAUCAGAGGCAGGUGUUAGUCAUUGUCUCUGAUUGGGAACCAUAUUUCGGUAGCCUGUUUGGUGUUGGGUUUUGUGGGUGAUUGUUCCUGUCUCUGUGUUUGCACCAGAUAGGGCUGUUUAGGUUUCUCACGUUUAUUGUUUUUGUUAGUCUAUUCAUGUAUAGUGUCUUUAUUAAAGUACCAUGAAUAGAAACCACGCUGCA